GCUUACGGCCACACCGCCUGGUUCACGCCUGAUCUCGGAAGCUAAGAUAGGUUGGGCCUGGUUAGUACUUGGAUGGGAGACCGCCUGGGAAUACCAGGUGCUGCAAAGC
rnacentral:rRNA from 1 species